UGGGGAAUAUUGGACAAUGGGCGCAAGCCUGAUCCAGCCAUACCGCGUGCAGGAAGAAGGCCCUAUGGGUCGUAAACUGCUUUUGAACAAGAGAAAACCCCGGUACGUGUACUGGGUUGAUAGUAUUGUUAGAAUAAGCAUCGGCUAACUUCGUGCCAGCAGCCGCGGUAAGACGAAGGAUGCAAGCGUUAUCCGGAUUCAUUGGGUUUAAAGGGUGCGUAGGCGGACUGAUAAGUCAGUGGUGAAAUCUCUCGGCUUAACCGAGAAACUGCCAUUGAUACUGUUAGUCUAGAGUACAGAUGAUGUGGGCGGAAUAUGACAUGUAGUGGUGAAAUACUUAGAUAUGUCAUAGAACACCGAUUGCGAAGGCAGCUCACAAAACUGUAACUGACGCUGAGGCACGAAAGUGCGGGGAUCAAACAGGAUUAGAUACCCCCGUAGUCCCUGAGCGGGCUGGCAAGGCGCAU
rnacentral:rRNA from 1 species